rnacentral:pre_miRNA from 1 species
AGGUGAACUUUGCCCAGAUUAGACUUGUAAUUGUUAGUCACUGGGUAAAGUUUGUCCGUUG